rnacentral:rRNA from 1 species
UGGGAGCAUCAGUGGCUGAGGUUUGAUCAUGGCUCAGAUUGAACGCUGGCGGGAUGCUUUACGUGCAAGUCGAACGGCUUGGCACGGACUUCGGCCUGGUGGCGAGUGGCGGGCGGGUGAUAAUGUAUCGGAACGUGCUAAUGUGAGGAUAACUAUACGCGAAAGCGUAAUAAUACCGCAUACGCCCCUUCCAGGGAAAGCGGGGGACAGCUUCGGGCUCGCGCCGUAGAGCGGCCCACGAUAUCAGUUAGCUGGUUGGUGAGGUAACGGCUCGCAGGGGCGACGAUCCGUAGCUGGUUUAGAGGACGACCAGCCACACUGGGACUGGGGCAUACGGCGAACUCCCUACGGGGGGCGGCAGUGGGAAUUUUGGACAAUGGGAAACCCUGAUCCACGUAUCCCGCGUGUGCGAUGACCCCUUCCGGGUUGUAAAGCACUUUUUGGCAGGAAGAAACGGCACGGGAUAAUACCCCGUGCAACUGACGGUACCUGCAGAAUAUUCACCAGCUGCUUUACGACAGCCGCGGUAAUACGUAGGUGCAAUUAAUCGGAAUUACUGGGCGUAAAGAAAGCGUGCGCAGGCGGUUCGGAAAGAAGAUGUAACGAAAUCAGGCUUAACUUUGGAACUGCAUUUUUUAACCGAGCUAGAGUGUGUCAGAGGAGGUGGAAUUCCGCUGUGAUGUAGCAGUGAAAUGCGUAGAUAUGCGGAGGAACACCGAUAGCGAAGGCAGCCUCCUGGGAUAACACUGACGCUCAUGCACAGCGUGGGAGCAAACAGGAUUAGAUACCUAUUUAGUCCACGCCCCUAAACGAUGUCAACUAGCUGUUAGAGGGGCCUUCGGAGCCUUGGUAAGCGCAACGCGUGAAGUUGACCGCCUGGGAAAUACGGUCACGCAAGAUUAAAACUCAAGGAAUUGACGAGGACCCGCACAGAAAGCGGUGGAUGAUGUGGAUUAAUUCGAUGCAACGCGAGAAAACCUUACCUACCACCCUUGACAUAUCUGGAAUCCCAGAGAUUUAGGUGCUCGCAAGAAGAGACCGGAACACGGGUGCUGCAUGGCUGUCGUCGGCUCGUGUCGUGGAUGUUGGGUUAAGUCCCGCAGCGAGCGCAACCCUUGUCAUUAGUUGCACGAAGGGCACUCUAAUGAGACUGCCGGUGACAAACCGGAGGAAGGUGGGGAUGACGUCGCCUCUAUAUGGCCCUUAUGGGUAGGGCUUCACACGUCAUACAAUGGUCGGGACCAGAGGGUCGCCAACCCGCGAGGAACAAUCCCGAAACCCGAUCGUAGUCCGGAUCGCAGUCUCUGCAACUCGACUGCGUGAAGUCGGAAUCGCUAAUCGCGGAUCGGCAUGUCGCGGUGAAUACGUUCCCGGGUCUUGUACACCGCCCGUCACACCAUGGAAUUAGGUUUUGCAGAAGUGAUUAUAACCGUAAGGAGGGCGAUUACCACGGUAGGAUUCAUGACUGGGGUGAAGUCGUAACAAGGUAA